CCUACGGGGGACUGCAGUGGGGAAUAUUGGACAAUGGGGGCAACCCUGAUCCAGCCAUGCCGCGUGUGUGAAGAAGGCCCUCGGGUUGUAAAGCACUUUCAGUGAGGAAGAACGCCUGGUGGUUAAUACCCAUCAGGAAAGAUAUCACUCACAGAAGAAGCACCGGCUAACUCCGUGCCAGCAGCCGCGGUAAUACGGAGGGUGCGAGCGUUAAUCGGAAUUACUGGGCGUAAAGCGCGCGUAGGUGGCUUGAUAAGCCGGUUGUGAAAGCCCCGGGCUCAACCUGGGAACGGCAUCCGGAACUGUCAAGCUAGAGUGCAGGAGAGGAAGGUAGAAUUCCCGGUGUAGCGGUGAAAUGCGUAGAGAUCGGGAGGAAUACCAGUGGCGAAGGCGGCCUUCUGGACUGACACUGACACUGAGGUGCGAAAGCGUGGGUAGCAAACAGGAUUAGAUACCCUUGUAGUC
rnacentral:rRNA from 1 species